rnacentral:rRNA from 1 species
CCUANGGGCGGCAGCAGUGGGGAAUCUUAGACAAUGGGGGAAACCCUGAUCUAGCCAUGCCGCGUGAUCGAUGAAGGCCUUAGGGUUGUAAAGAUCUUUCAGUGGGGAAGAUAAUGACGGUACCCACAGAAGAAGCCCCGGCUAACUCCGUGCCAGCAGCCGCGGUAAUACGGAGGGGGCUAGCGUUAUUCGGAAUUACUGGGCGUAAAGCGCACGUAGGCGGAUUGGAAAGUUGGAGGUGAAAUCCCAGGGCUCAACCUUGGAACUGCCUUCAAAANUCCCAGUCUUGAGGUCGAGAGAGGUGAGUGGAAUGCCGAGUGUAGAGGUGAAAUUCGUAGAUAUUCGGAGGAACACCAGAGGCGAAGGCGGCUCACUGGCUCGAUACUGACGCUGAGGUGCGAAAGCGUGGGGAGCAAACAGGAUUAGAUACCCCUNUAGUC